AUAUUGAAGCCAAAUUAAAGAAGGAUGUGAAGGUUAGGCUAAGAAGUGUGAUGAGCUUUAUUUAGGUAAUAGGCAAUGAGGAGAAAUUGAAACAUGAAGGAACAUAAUUUGAGGUGUGAUUAUUUGAGUUUUUAAAAUAUUAUCACUGUGCAUCAGAACGGGUUAGGGAAGGCUUAAAUCCUGGAUGCUGGCUUGGCACCUAUUAGAGCAAUUAAAAUGAGAAAUGAUGCAGACUAAACUAGAAUUUCAGGUAAAAAUGAGAAAAAUAUGGUAUAGGCAUUAAAAAAUGGUAUAGGCAUUAAAAAACUUCAUUUGACUGAGUUUGAGUAUGGAGGAAAAGGAAGUAUGGAGAUCAAAAGAAAACAUCAGGAUUUGGGAGCUUGGACACAGAAAUGGAAAUGCCAAUUCUCAAGCUCAUACGUAAUUUCAACUGGAUUUUCAAAUGCAAAAUAAGUUGAAUCUCUACCUUAUGCCAUAUAUAAAAAUUAAUCCCAAAUGGACUGAAAACAUAAAUAUAAGCGGGAAUAUCAACACUUUUGGAAGAAAGCAUGGGUUACUGAUCAUCAAUCAACUCUUCCUCACUGGUGACAAUAUAAUCAAGAUAAACUGUUCUUAGAUUAUUUCUCUAUUUAUAUAAAUAUUACCAGUGUUGUAACAUACUGUGAGGACCUUAAAUAUUAUGCCAGGCUGAUGACUGGCCUUCAGCUCAACCAGUAUUUGAUUCAUUAAAAUAGCUAACCAACAUAUAAUUCUGACACAAAGCCGUGCUGGUAUAUCGACUGAACAAAAUAUCCACUUUCUCUGUCUGAUUUAGAAGUGUCAAUUUCAAUUCCUAUCAUAUCACCAUUUCCUAUUGAUUCUUCCCUAUUAACUUUAAUACUCUGUUGGAUUUCCUUUGAUUGUUCAGCUUAGAUGUCUGUGUAUUUUCACCACUUACAAAGUUGGUGACACCAUGCCUCCCUUUACCAUGUUUAUUUCUUUGAAAUAAUCUAUGCAGCCUUCAUCUGUGUAAUGAUCGGCCUUCUUUGCAACGUUCUCGUGGCAGCACUCUGUUUUUUACUGGAUAGUAUGUGAAGAAGGCAGAAGAGAAAAGUGCCUCAUUCAAGAUACGGAGAAUCAUUUUGUGAAGAGCUGGUGUCCUUCAAAUAGAGAAUGAAAUGGACCUUGUCUUUUGAAGAUGGAGAUGUAAUAAUUGUCUUAAAGUCUUUUUGAAAUAAUAAUCUUAAUAAUAUUCAAUAUCUCUUCAGAUUGAAUGGAAAGGGUAAAAGAGUUGGGAAGAUAACGUCACUCACAAGGAAUUAUCUGAAAUUCUUCACCCCAAGGGAUAUGAAUUAGCUUCCUCGAUUUUAUCCUGAAGAGGGGCCAUCAUAAAAGAAAUUCCAAAAAUAAGUCACAGAACGAAUAAACAAAAGCCCAUGAUUUUGGAGAUCUCUUCAUGUAAUUUUCCUCAAUAUAUGUGAUUAAUUUAAAAUAUUAUCAAAUGUGACAAUUUUUAGAAGUUUGUAAUGGUUUCCAAAUAUAGGCCUUAUAUUGAAACAGUUAUUGUGAGAUCCUGCUUUGGGAUCAGAAAAUAAGCUUAUUUCAUAGUUUUUAAAAUAAAUUUUAUUUUUAGAGCAGUUUAGGUUCACGGCAAAAUUGAUCAGAAGUUACAGAAAUUUCCGGUUUACUCUCUGUCCUGACACAUGCGUAGCCUCCCUCAUUAUCAACAUUUCCACCAGAGAGAUACAUUUAUUAUAAUUGAUGAAUCUACACUGACACAUCAUUAACAUCCAGAGUCCGUAGUUUACAUUAGGGCUCAGUCUUAGUGUUGUAUAUUCUAUGGGUUUAGACAAAUAUAUGAUGACCUGUAUCUACUGCUACAGUAUCAUAUAGGGUAGUUUCACUGCUCUAAGAAUCCUCUGUGCUCUGCCUGUUCAUUCCUUCCUUGCCCAUUCCUUAACAACCAUGGAUCUUUUUACUGUCUUCAUAGAUUGGCCUUUUCAAGAAUGUCCUAUAGUUGGAAUCAUGCAGUGUAUACCCUUUUCAGAUUGGCUUCUUUUGCAUAGUAAUAUUCAUUUAAGGUUCCUCCAUAUCUCCUCAUGGCUUGAUAGCACAUUUCUUUUUAAUCCUGAAUAAUAUUCCAUUGUCUAGAUGCACCACAGUUUAUUUAUCCAUUCACCUACUGAAGGACAUCCUGGUUGCUUCCAAUUUUGGGCAAUUAUGAGUGAAGCUGCUGUAAACACCUAAACACCCCUGUGCAGAUGUUUGUGUGCACAUAAGUUUUAAACUCCUUUGGAUAAAUACCAAUAAACAAGAUUUCUGGAUUGUAAGUUAAGAGUAGGUUUAGUUUUAGCCCGGCACAGGGGCUCAUGCCUGUAAUCCCAGCACUUUGGGAGGCUGAGGCGGGCAGAUCACUUGCAGUCAGGAGUUCCAGACCAGCCUGGCCAACAUGGCAAAACUCUAUCUCUACUUAAAAUACAAAAAUUAGCCUAGCAUAGUGGUGUGCACCUGUAAUCCCAGCUACUCGGGAGGUUUGAGGCAGGAGCAUUGCUUGAACCCGGGAAGCGGAGAUUGAAGUGAGCUGAGUUCCUGCCACUGCACUCCAGCCUGGGCUACAGAGUGAGACCUUGCCAAAAAUAAAAUAAAAUAAAAUAAAUAAAAUAAAAUAAAAUUAAAAUAUAGAUGUUUAGUUUCGUAGAAAACUGGCAAACUAUGUUCAAAGGGCUGUAUAAUUUUGCAUUGCAACUAGAAAUAAAUGAGAGUUCCUAUUGCUCCAUAUCCUCAUAAGCAUUUGGUGUUGUCAGUGUUAUGGAUUUUUGCCAUUCUCGUAGGUAUGUAGUAAUUAUUGGUAUGUAUGUAAUGGUAUCUUGUUAUUUUCACUUCAUGGAGUUUUUAGUCUUUUGUUUCUUUUAUGUUUUCCCCCUAACUACAUGAAGUGAAAAGUCAUAUUUUCUCUUUCAACUGGGUAAUGAACUGUCUUCAUAAAUCAUUGAUUAUUGGACUAUGGAAGUAAAAUUUUUUUUAAAAAAAAAAAGAAAAAAUGAGAACAGCACAAAUACAGUUCUGUUGGGGGUUUAUAUUUACUACCUGUAGGGCAAAAGUAUAGCUGAUUCAUGCAGGCUUCCUCAUGUUAGAUCGGUGGACUCUGUUCUCACAGUUUGCAGUCUACUGCACAGAACCAAAGAAGGCUUCUGCACUUUGCUGCUUUGUAUGUCACUGUGACCCACUGGGGUUGACUCCUUGAAGGCUUCUGUCGAUAAAGUGUUAGACUCCUGUGUGGUGUGGGUUCAUUCUUAAGGAGGAACAGUGCAUUUUCUUAUUGGAUAGCAGGGCUACAUUUGGUGCCUUCAUUUUCAGAAGUAGGUGGUAAUUAUGAUUUUAACUUUUUUGUCUCCUUAAUUUCCAAUAUCUGAGUGCUUGUUUUUCCUAUGAGAUGAUGUUACUUCUGAAGAAGGGUUCGAGAAACCUUCACUCUAAUGAAUAUUAAUAAAUAUAUGAAAUCCAUACCAUAGGUGCUUGGGUUCUUCUACUUUCCUUUUCAUAGCAUGUUACAAUUUUUCCUUUCACAUUUUGAAUGUUUCCAAAUACAUGGACCUUUGAGAUUGCCUAGCAACAAUUUGGAUUGAUAAUAUUUAUUUAAAACCUGCGUAUUUUGGGUCCAUUUAGACACAACAGAGAAAUUAAAUCUGUCUAUGACAUUUAUGG